rnacentral:rRNA from 1 species
UACGUAGGGUGCGAGCGUUAAUCGGAAUUACUGGGCGUAAAGCGUGCGCAGGCGGUUAUGUAAGACAGUUGUGAAAUCCCCGGGCUCAACCUGGGAAUUGCAUCUGUGACUGCAUAGCUAGAGUACGGGUAGAGGGGGAUGGAAUUCCGCGUGUAGCAGUGAAAUGCGUAGAUAUGCGGAGGAACACCGAUGGCGAAGGCAAUCCCCUGGACCUGUACUGACGCUCAUGCACGAAAGCGUGGGGAGCAAACAGG